rnacentral:rRNA from 1 species
UACGGAGGGGGCAAGCGUUGUUCGGAAUUAUUGGGCGUAAAGAGCGUGUAGGCGGCCCGACAGGUCCGUUGUGAAAACUCGAGGCUCAACCUCGAGACGUCGAUGGAAACCGUCGGGCUAGAGUCCGGAAGAGGAGAGUGGAAUUCCUGGUGUAGCGGUGAAAUGCGCAGAUAUCAGGAGGAACACCCGUGGCGAAGGCGGUUCUCUGGGCAUUACCUGACGCUGAGGAGCGAAAGCAUGGGGAGCGAACAGG